GUCUACGGCCAUACCACCCUGAACGCGCCCGAUCUCGUCUGAUCUCGGAAGCUAAGCAGGGUCGGGCCUGGUUAGUACUUGGAUGGGAGACAUUUCUCCAAAGAAGUUAUACAAAUAGCUAAUAAGCA
rnacentral:rRNA from 1 species